GAUGAACGCUAGCGGCAGGCUUAACACAUGCAAGUCGAGGGGUAUAGUUCUUCGGAACUAGAGACCGGCGCACGGGUGCGUAACGCGUAUGCAAUCUACCUUUUACAGAGGGAUAGCCCAGAGAAAUUUGGAUUAAUACCUCAUAGUAUAACGACUCGGCAUCGAGAUGUUAUUAAAGUCACAACGGUGAAAGAUGAGCAUGCGUCCCAUUAGCUAGUUGGUAUGGUAACGGCAUACCAAGGCGACGAUGGGUAGGGGUCCUGAUAGGGAGAUCCCCCACACUGGUACUGAGACACGGACCAGACUCCUACGGGAGGCAGCAGUGAGGAAUAUUGGACAAUGGGCGCAAGCCUGAUCCAGCCAUGCCGCGUGCAGGAUGACGGUCCUAUGGAUUGUAAACUGCUUUUGCACAGGAAGAAACAACUCUACGUGUAGAGUCUUGACGGUACUGUGAGAAUAAGGAUCGGCUAACUCCGUGCCAGCAGCCGCGGUAAUACGGAGGAUCCAAGCGUUAUCCGGAAUCAUUGGGUUUAAAGGGUCCGUAGGCGGUCUUAUAAGUCAGUGGUGAAAUCUCCCCGCUCAACGGGGAAACGGCCAUUGAUACUGUAGGACUUGAAUUAUUUGGAAGUAACUAGAAUAUGUAGUGUAGCGGUGAAAUGCUUAGAGAUUACAUGGAAUACCAAUUGCGAAGGCAGGUUACUACUAAUGGAUUGACGCUGAUGGACGAAAGCGUGGGUAGCGAACAGGAUUAGAUACCCUGGUAGUCCACGCCGUAAACGAUGGAUACUAGCUGUGGAAGCAAUUUCAGUGGCUAAGCGAAAGUGAUAAGUAUCC
rnacentral:rRNA from 1 species